AUAGCGUAUAUUAAAGUUGUUGCAGUUAAAAAGCUCGUAGUUGAACUUCAGGCUUGGUUGGUUGGUCCGCCUCACGGGGUGUACUGAUCGACCGAGCCUUACCUCUUGGUGAGCCAGCAUGCCGUUUAUUCGGUGUGUUGGGGAACCAGGAUUUUUACUUUGAAAAAAUUAGAGUGUUCAAAGCAGGCCUAUGCCCGAAUACAUUAGCAUGGAAUAAUAGAAUAGGACGUGCGGUUCUAUUUUGUUGGUUUCUAGGAUCGCCGUAAUGAUUAAUAGGGAUAGUUGGGGGCAUUAGUAUUCAGUUGCUAGAGGUGAAAUUCUUGGAUUUACUGAAGACUAACUACUG
rnacentral:rRNA from 1 species